rnacentral:lncRNA from 7 species
AGCAAAUAUUGAUGGGUUGGAGCCGAGUUCGGUUUCUCAUCAGCCUGUUAGUGAUGAAUGGUGCCAGCAGAGAUGCCAAAGACUGACGAGAUAGACUGGAAGAAAUACCGCAUUCUCACCUCCCAGCAGGUUCAUUUCUGAUGAGUGACGAUAGAAGACAUACAGUUCUAGAAAGGAGACAACAGAGAAGGCUGAGAUCCUGAUAUCAGAGAAGGGAUCUGCUCAAAUCCAGGUCGACAUGCUGUUGCCUCAUCUUUGUAGAGCUCUAGUGGCUGGCUGAUGCUCUGACUGAAACACAGUGCUGGUACUCAAGAGAAACUACAGCUUGAGUAUCUGACCAACUACUGAAUCAGUACAAAGUGAUCCCUAUGACUAGCCUGUUCCAAUUUGAGAAGAGCAAUCCCCAAGCAAAGCCACUCGGAAAUGUUGCAAGCUCCAAGGACCAGACUUCUCUACCAUGAAGUCCCAGUGAGCAGUUCCAUACCAUGGGAAAACAUACCGCAAUAAACUGAGGCACAAGGAACCGGUCUGAUGACUCCUAUGUUAGAUUUGACUAGCAGUUUGCUAUCAUCAGGAGGAAGACAAUGCAGUAAUUGGGACACUGCCUUGCAGACUGUGUCACCUUCCAAUAAAUAAAUAAAUAAAU